rnacentral:rRNA from 1 species
UGGGGGAUAUUGCACAAUGGGCGAAAGCCUGAUGCAGCGACGCCGCGUGGGGGAUGAAGGCUUUCGGGUUGUAAACCUCUUUCGCUAUCGAACAAGGCCCGCUUAGGGUGGGUUGAGGGUAGGUGGAGAAGAAGCGCCGGCUAACUUCGUGCCAGCAGCCGCGGUAAUACGUAGGGCGCGAGCGUUGUCCGGAAUUAUUGGGCGUAAAGGGCUUGUAGGCGGCUUGUUGCGCCUGCUGUGAAAACGCGGGGCUUAACUUCGCGCGUGCAGUGGGUACGGGCAGGCUUGAGUGUGGUAGGGGUGACUGGAAUUCCAGGUGUAGCGGUGGAAUGCGCAGAUAUCUGGAGGAACACCGAUGGCGAAGGCAGGUCACUGGGCCAUUACUGACGCUGAGGAGCGAAAGCAUGGGUAGCGAACAGG